ACUCACCUCUACUUAUAGCACCAAGGAAAACAUUCCAAUGGCGCAAAAAACCAGUAAACAACACAUAUCCACUAAUCAGUCUAGAGAAUGUAUUCGACAAACUAUAUAAGGAUAAAUAUUACCCCAACCUCUUAAUCGUAUUUUCCUCAAAUAACUUCCAGAGACUGUUGACUAUGGGGUGCCAUGAGGUGCCAAUGUUUUGUGUACGUCGACGACAUAAUCGUAUUUAACCGCAGCUUAUAACACCAUAAUGAUAAUCUCAUUAAAAUAUUAAUUUUUAAAUUAAUAUGUGGGUUAAGAAUAAAAAAAAUUGAAAUAAAGUAAAAUUCAACAUAUUGCAACAAAGUAAGCAUAAUGGCUGUUUAUUAACAAUAAUUCUAUAUAAAGCCGCUGUAAACUAAAUUUAAUGGGUUUCUCCAAAAAAAACCGGAAGGUUCGCGGACAACUUGGAUGAACCAUAAAUGUCGAACAAAAAAGAAGAUGAUGACCGAAGGAAGAAGUAGAACUGAUUGAUUAAAUUGCAGACUUAGCAAAUUGAGACGUAGCAGUCGAGAGGGUUAAAGGGGUACUGAAAUUUGGCGCUGCGGUCAUAUCUUUCGAUAGUGAUGCGCUUCUCUCCGCCAGUAGAGUAGCGUAAAACUUCAAGCAAAAUCAAUUAUUAAGAGAGAAUAUCGAUGACAAUAGAUCGUCAAUGUACUAAAGCUGAAAAAGGAAAAAGUCGAAUACGUUUUUCGCCAGAU